ACACACACACCUUUAAUAAGCUUAAACUCUCAUUUGGAUCAUUUCUGUUACAACCUGAUGUGAGCAUGAAUGCAAACAAGGAAAAAAAUAUUAAUAGGUCAGAGGGUCAAAUUCUUGUGGUUAGAGCAUGGCUGCUCAGUAACAGCUUUGUGGGUUAAAACUCCAUGUGAGUUUACUGCACCAUUUCUUUUUUACAUCAACUUUUUUCAUCUCUUAAAGAUCGUCUGUUCAUUUUAAACCAGCGUUUGUCUCUUCCCAGCAACACCCCCCUCCGAAAAAGCUGAACCCUUUCCCGAUGGAGAACAGAGGAGCUCUGUGAUAUUCAGAUCUGGAGGGAAGAGAAGCAGAUCUACAUCAUGAUUACUGUGACUGUCACUUCACAAACCACAGACCUUCAGCAUCACCACAUCUCUGCUGCAGCAAAUGCCUUCAGGAACGGUUUCUCACUCUGACAUUGUGAAUUCUGAGGUCACAUUUCUCCCAACGCCUGCUCCCUCCUCCUCCUCCAGGAGGGGUGGCAGAGAUGCUCAGAGCUUUGCUACCUGGAGACCGACAGCCUCCCUCCUCCAGCCAAUCAGAGGCUGUGGAAAACAGCCUCCUGCUCCACAAUUGGUCCAGCGCAGCCGGAGCCCACUCCAUCGAUGGCCGAGUCAUUGUGUCGUCUGGCACUGCCAAAGCCAAUUAUACUGGCCCCCCCUUGUCCUUUGUCCUGAUCUCUUUUCUCCAAUAAACCCUCCUUAUAUGGGAGCUCUGAAACACACACAGACUGACACACGCAUACAAAUCUGUCCCCCCGACUCCCCAGAAUGUCAGGAGGGGAGUCUGGGAAUCAGGAGGACAUGAAACUCAUAAUAAUGAGACAUUAGUUGAAAUGUAACCACGACUGACAACAAGACCACCAAAACUCAUUUCUGUCUAUAAGUUUAACAAUGCUAAAGAUAAAAACAGUGUGUGUGUUCACAACAGGAUUUCAAAUUUACAGGGCAGCUUUAAAAUCUAAAAUGUAAGCUUUGUGUAGCUGUGUCACAGGUUUUUACACAAACACACACUAAACAGAGUCACAAGAAGGUGUAACAAAACACCCAGGUACAAACCCUGACACACACACACACACACACAGAGGAACACACCUGUAGGCUGAGUCUACUCAAACAUGCAAAUCUAAAACAAACCCUGCAAAGAGGAAGUGUACACAGGAGGCAAAAGUCCAGAAAACACACACACGCACACACACCUUUUCAGGCAGCUUAUUGUUUUAAGUGAAUUAAAAACUGCAUUUUCUUUUUUUUAUCCAAAUAUAAUUUUUAUGUCACA